AUUGAACGCUGGCGGCAGGCCUAACACAUGCAAGUCGAGCGAGCGGCGGACGGGUGAGUAAUGUCUGGGAAACUGCCUGAUGGAGGGGGAUAACUACUGGAAACGGUAGCUAAUACCGCAUACCAUCAGAUGUGCCCAGAUGGGAUUAGCUAGUAGGUGGGGUAACGGCUCACCUAGGCGACGAUCCCUAGCUGGUCUGAGAGGAUGACCAGCCACACUGGAACUGAACCACGGUCCAGACUCCUACGGGGGGCAGCAGUGGGAAAUAUUUCACAAUGGGCGCAAGCCUGAGGCAGCCAUGCCGCGUGUAGGUAGAAGGCCUUCGGUUUGUAAAGUACUUUCAGCGGGGAGGCGUUACCCGCAGAGGAAGCACCGGCUAACUCCGUGCCAGCAGCCGCGGUAAUUC
rnacentral:rRNA from 1 species